GCGGUAGUAAUCAAGUGGUUACGAUGAUUGAUUUGAAAUCAAUUCCUCUCUGAGGGCGCAGGUUCAAAUCCUGUCUGCCGCU
rnacentral:tRNA from 1 species